rnacentral:misc_RNA from 1 species
GUGGUAAAUUGGACUUCAAUAAUUUUUCAGUCUUUGCUUGAAACCUUUUGAAAAAUUAUGGCUUUGUUCAAUUAGGUGUACCAAACUAAGGUUUAUGAGCCAAAUAAAUCAAAAGUGUAAUACAAAUAUGCUCAAUGCAACUUUAUAAUUGACCAAGGCAAAGCAACCUAAUCAACUCUAUCAAAGUGCACAACUUAGAUUAUAGGCAAUUUCAAAAUCAACCUAAUCAAGUAUAGUUCAAAUGUGCUCAAAGAAUAUCACAACGUAUUAUCAAGUAAUCUCAACUCAUCAACAAUCUCAAUAUGCUCAAUAAUUCAAUAUAUUACUCAAUCAAUUCAAUUAACACCUCAAAUAUAUCAUUUAACUCAAGAUUCUCAUUAAAGUAAAGUAAAUAACAUAAAGUAAAAAAGGUAAGGGUUGAGAGAAUUGAACACAAUGAUUUUUAUAGUGGUAUAGCUUAAUUAGCCUACAUCCACUCUCUCAAGGUUCAUCCUUGAGUCUUCACU